rnacentral:lncRNA from 1 species
CACAUAUACUGGCAAAUGGUGAGGAAAGACCAAUAGCGUUUGCGUCACGCUCACUCAACAAUGCCGAAAGCAACUACGCCCAAAUAGAGAGAGAGGCCCUAGGGAUAGUUUUUGGUAUCCGGAAGUUCCACCAAUACUUGUUUGGGAGGAAGUUCACUCUUCUAACAGAUCAUCGCCCUCUCACCACCAUUUUUGGGCCACACACAGGGAUUCCGUCAUUGGCUGCGAGUCGGAUGCAAAGGUGGGCAUUGAUUCUCUCCGCUCACACAUAUGACAUUAAGUACCGGAAGUCUGAACUGCACUCAAAUGCUGAUGGUCUCUCCAGACUGCCAUUGCCUGACACUCAUGUCAUGUCUAAGCAAGCAGACAUCUUCUACUUCCAGCAGGUAGACGGGACACCAAUCACCUGUACACAAGUGAAACGUCAGAGCAGAAAUGACCCUGUGCUCUCUAAGAUGAUUGAUGUCGUAGUGAGUGGAAGGAAAGUGGAGAGUUUAGCGGAACUGAAACCGUAUCUCUCAAGGAUGAAUGAACUCUCAGUCCAAGCAGGAUGUCUGUUAUGGGGGCAGAGGGUAAUCAUUCCACCAAAUCUGAGGGAAGCACUGCUACAACAGUUACAUUCAGGGCACUGUGGAAUGGUUCGCAUGAAAGAACUGGCGAGGAGCUACUUCUGGUGGCCAGGACUCGAUGGUCAUAUUGAAGACAGGGUGAAGUCUUGUGGCUCAUGUCAGAGCGUCCGCAACACACCACAGUUAGCCCCUCUGCACCCAUGGGACUGGCCUGAGGAAGCAUGGCAACGGAUACAUAUCGAUUUUGCCGGCCCAUUUGAAGAGAGAAUGUUGCUGGUAGCUAUUGAUGCACAUAGUAAGUGGCCAGAAGUGGCAAUUAUGAGAUCCACCACAGCCCAGAAAACAAUUGAGAAGCUGGCGGAAAUGUUCAGUCGUUUUGGUUUUCCAGAACAGCUGGUGAGUGACAAUGGUCCGCAAUUUGUCUCUGCAGAUCUUGCCAAGUUCCUUGAAAGGCACGGAAUUCAACAUAUACGGUCUGCUCCAUAUCACCCCGCUACUAACGGAUUAGCAGAAAGAUUUAUUCAGAGCAUGAAACACUCACUCAAGGCUUCGCAAGGACA